UACGAAGGGGGCUAGCGUUGCUCGGAAUCACUGGGCGUAAAGAGCUCGUAGGCGGUCUGUCGCGUCUGCCGUGAAAACCCGAGGCUUAACCUCGGGCUGGCGGUGGAUACGGGCAGACUAGAGGUAGGUAGGGGAGAAUGGAAUUCCCGGUGUAGCGGUGAAAUGCGCAGAUAUCGGGAGGAACACCGGUGGCGAAGGCGGUUCUCUGGGCCUUACCUGACGCUGAGGAGCGAAAGCGUGGGGAGCGAACAGG
rnacentral:rRNA from 1 species